CUUGGCGGCCAUAGCGCAGUGGUCCCACCUGUUCCCUUCCCGAACACAGAAGUGAAACGCUGCAGCGCCGAUGGUAGUGUCGCUUAAGCGAUGCAAGAGUAGGUCACCGCCAAGG
rnacentral:rRNA from 2 species